rnacentral:rRNA from 1 species
AUGAACGCUAGCGACAGGCUUAACACAUGCAAGUCGAGGGGUAACAGGGUAGCAAUACCGCUGACGACCGGCGCACGGGUGAGUAACGCGUAUGCAACCUGCCUAGUAACUGGGGGAAUAGCUCCCCUGAAAGGGGGAAUUAACACCGCAUAACACUAUUGAUUCGCAUGGAUUAGUAGUUAAAUGUAGCGAUACAGGUUAUAGAUGGGCAUGCGUGACAUUAGCUAGUUGGUGAGGUAACGGCUCACCAAGGGCUACGAUGUCUAGGGGUUCUGAGAGGAAGGUCCCCCCACACUGGUACUGAGACACGGACCAGACUCCUACGGGAGGCAGCAGUGAGGAAUAUUGGUCAAUGGGCGCAAGGCCUGAACCAGCCAUGUCGCGUGCAGGAAGACUGCCCUAUGGGUUGUAAACUGCUUUUAUAGUAGAAGAAACACAUCUACGAGUAGAUGUCUGCCAGUAUACUAUGAAUAAGCAUCGGCUAACUCCGUGCCAGCAGCCGC